UACGUAGGGGGCUAGCGUUGUCCGGAAUCAUUGGGCGUAAGGCGCGUGUAGGCGGUCCGGUAAGUCUGCUGUGAAAGUCGGGGGCUCAACCCUCGGAUGCCGGUGGAUACUGUCGGGCUUGAGUACGGAAGAGGCGAGUGGAAUUCCUGGUGUAGCGGUGAAAUGCGCAGAUAUCAGGAGGAACACCAAUUGCGAAGGCAGCUCGCUGGGACGUUACUGACGCUGAGACGCGAAAGCGUGGGGAGCAAACAGG
rnacentral:rRNA from 1 species